AUGGUCAUAUUACGUUGAAACACCAGUUCUCAUACAGUCACUGAAGUUAAGCAAUGUUGAGUCUGGUCAGUACCUAGAUGAGUGACCACUUGGGAAUACCAGGUGGUGUAAG